rnacentral:rRNA from 1 species
GGGGUGACUGCGUACCUUUUGUAUAAUGGGUCAGCGACUUAUAUUCUGUAGCAAGGUUAACCGAAUAGGGGAGCCGAAGGGAAACCGAGUCUUAACUGGGCGUUAAGUUGCAGGGUAUAGACCCGAAACCCGGUGAUCUAGCCAUGGGCAGGUUGAAGGUUGGGUAACACUAACUGGAGGACCGAACCGACUAAUGUUGAAAAAUUAGCGGAUGACUUGUGGCUGGGGGUGAAAGGCCAAUCAAACCGGGAGAUAGCUGGUUCUCCCCGAAAGCUAUUUAGGUAGCGCCUCGUGAAUUCAUCUCCGGGGGUAGAGCACUGUUUCGGCAAGGGGGUCAUCCCGACUUACCAACCCGAUGCAAACUGCGAAUACCGGAGAAUGUUAUCACGGGAGACACACGGCGGGUGCUAACGUCCGUCGUGAAGAGGGAAACAACCCAGACCGCCAGCUAAGGUCCCAAAGUCAUGGUUAAGUGGGAAACGAUGUGGGAAGGCCCAGACAGCCAGGAUGUUGGCUUAGAAGCAGCCAUCAUUUAAAGAAAGCGUAAUAGCUCACUGGUCGAGUCGGCCUGCGCGGAAGAUGUAACGGGGCUAAACCAUGCACCGAAGCUGCGGCAGCGACGCUGAUGCGUUGUUGGGUAGGGGAGCGUUCUGUAAGCCUGUGAAGGUGUGCUGUGAGGCAUGCUGGAGGUAUCAGAAGUGCGAAUGCUGACAUAAGUAACGAUAAAGCGGGUGAAAAGCCCGCUCGCCGGAAGACCAAGGGUUCCUGUCCAACGUUAAUCGGGGCAGGGUGAGUCGACCCCUAAGGCGAGGCCGAAAGGCGUAGUCGAUGGGAAACAGGUUAAUAUUCCUGUACUUGGUGUUACUGCGAAGGGGGGACGGAGAAGGCUAUGUUGGCCGGGCGACGGUUGUCCCGGUUUAAGCGUGUAGGCUGGUUUUCCAGGCAAAUCCGGAAAAUCAAGGCUGAGGCGUGAUGACGAGGCACUACGGUGCUGAAGCAACAAAUGCCCUGCUUCCAGGAAAAGCCUCUAAGCAUCAGGUAACAUCAAAUCGUACCCCAAACCGACACAGGUGGUCAGGUAGAGAAUACCAAGGCGCUUGAGAGAACUCGGGUGAAGGAACUAGGCAAAAUGGUGCCGUAACUUCGGGAGAAGGCACGCUGAUAUGUAGGUGAAGUCCCUCGCGGAUGGAGCUGAAAUCAGUCGAAGAUACCAGCUGGCUGCAACUGUUUAUUAAAAACACAGCACUGUGCAAACACGAAAGUGGACGUAUACGGUGUGACGCCUGCCCGGUGCCGGAAGGUUAAUUGAUGGGGUUAGCGCAAGCGAAGCUCUUGAUCGAAGCCCCGGUAAACGGCGGCCGUAACUAUAACGGUCCUAAGGUAGCGAAAUUCCUUGUCGGGUAAGUUCCGACCUGCACGAAUGGCGUAAUGAUGGCCAGGCUGUCUCCACCCGAGACUCAGUGAAAUUGAACUCGCUGUGAAGAUGCAGUGUACCCGCGGCAAGACGGAAAGACCCCGUGAACCUUUACUAUAGCUUGACACUGAACAUUGAGCCUUGAUGUGUAGGAUAGGUGGGAGGCUUUGAAGUGUGGACGCCAGUCUGCAUGGAGCCGACCUUGAAAUACCACCCUUUAAUGUUUGAUGUUCUAACGUGGACCCGUAAUCCGGGUUGCGGACAGUGUCUGGUGGGUAGUUUGACUGGGGCGGUCUCCUCCUAAAGAGUAACGGAGGAGCACGAAGGUUGGCUAAUCCUGGUCGGACAUCAGGAGGUUAGUGCAAUGGCAUAAGC